AUACUACUCCCUCCGUUCCAAAUUACUUGUCGCAGAAAUUGAUAUAUCUAAAACUAAAAUACAUCUAGAUACAUCCAUACUUGCGACAAGUAAUUCGGAACGGAGGGAGUACAUG
rnacentral:pre_miRNA from 1 species